UAAUACGGAGGAUCCAAGCGUUAUCCGGAAUCAUUGGGUUUAAAGGGUCCGUAGGCGGUUUAAUAAGUCAGUGGUGAAAGCCCAUCGCUCAACGGUGGAACGGCCAUUGAUACUGUUAAACUUGAAUUAUUAGGAAGUAACUAGAAUAUGUAGUGUAGCGGUGAAAUGCUUAGAGAUUACAUGGAAUACCAAUUGCGAAGGCAGGUUACUACUAAUGGAUUGACGCUGAUGGACGAAAGCGUGGGUAGCGAACAGGAUUAGAUACCCUGGUAGUCCACGCCGUAAACGAUGGAUACUAGCUGUUGGAAGCAAUUUCAGUGGCUAAGCGAAAGUGAUAAGUAUCCCACCUGGGGAGUACGUUCGCAAGAAUG
rnacentral:rRNA from 1 species